rnacentral:rRNA from 1 species
GAUGAACGCUGGCGGCGUGCUUAACACAUGCAAGUCGAACGGAAAGGCUCCUGCUUGCAGGGGUACUCGAGUGGCGAACGGGUGAGUAACACGUGGGUGAUCUGCCCUUCACUUCGGGAUAAGCCUGGGAAACUGGGUCUAAUACCGGAUAGGACCACAUUUUGGAUGGUGUGGUGGAAAGUUUUUCGGUGUGGGAUGAGCUCGCGGCCUAUCAGCUUGUUGGUGGGGUAAUGGCCUACCAAGGCGUCGACGGGUAGCCGGCCUGAGAGGGUGUACGGCCACAUUGGGACUGAGAUACGGCCCAGACUCCUACGGGAGGCAGCAGUGGGGAAUAUUGCACAAUGGGCGCAAGCCUGAUGCAGCGACGCCGCGUGGGGGAUGACGGCCUUCGGGUUGUAAACUCCUUUCGCUAGGGACGAAGCGCAAGUGACGGUACCUGGAGAAGAAGCACCGGCUAACUACGUG